rnacentral:misc_RNA from 1 species
AUUUGCCCAACUGGAUACCUUUAUAAUCUCUUGUUUUAGAAGCUUGCUGCAGAGCGGAAGAACUUGGGUAAACGGUCCCAAUUUCUGAUUCUCGUGUAUCAGUUCAGCCAAAUAUCUUUCUCUAUCGAGGGCGGCCGACGAUGAGCGGAUGGAGUGAUGCGGCGACGAAUGGGGGGAGGGGGAAUACUGGAAGUAAGACGAGGGAAGGAUCCUCUCAUCCAUGGCCGCCUUCAACUCUCG